GUUUGCACUUGUCGGGGAAGGGUGAGAACCUUCGAUUAAGGUUCGAUUCGAGCGCAGCGAGAA
rnacentral:sRNA from 1 species